rnacentral:lncRNA from 1 species
UGGGCCUUCAUAUGUGACGGGCAAGCCAGGGUCACCCAAGGGCGAUGGUGAUGGCAAGAUCAAGGAUCAAGGGUUGGUGCGAGUUGGCGUUUGCGAAGGAUCUUGCGGUACCAGGGAGAUCGCCUUUCUGCCUUACAAGACUGGUGGUGUAUUUGAUUUUUUAGAGAGGCUUGACUGAUGGAUUUCUUGGAAGUUUGUCCCCGUUUCUAGUACCAGUUACUUCAUAUGCUUCUCGAUCUUUUGAUAUCUCUCCGCGGUGUUGUGAUUAGUACCCAUGUAUGUGAUUCUUCUCGGUCUGUCUCAUUGGGUCUUUCCACGUUUCGAUUACCGGUGAAUGGAACCGGUAUAUACAGUAACUACUAAAUCACUCAAACAGUCAUUCUGCUAAACUAAACUGUGCUACUACCAUGCCUCAAACCUA